rnacentral:rRNA from 1 species
AUAAUCUACAUUCAUAUGUCUGGUGACUAUAGCAAGGAGGUCACACCUGUUCCCAUGCCGAACACAGAA